GAUGAACGCUGGCGGCGUGCCUAAUACAUGCAAGUCGAGCGAACAGAUGAGGAGCUUGUUCCUCUGACGUUAGCGGCGGACGGGUGAGUAACACGUGGAUAACCUACUUAUAAGACUGGGAUAACUUCGGGAAACCGGAGCUAAUACCGGAUAAUAUAUUGAACCGCAUGGUUCAAUAGUGAAAGACGGUUUUGCUGUCACUUAUAGCUGGAUCCGCGCCGCAUUAGUUAGUUGGUAAGGUAACGGCUUACCAAGGCAACGAUGCGUAGCCGACCUGAGAGGAUGAUCGGCCACACUGGAACUGAGACACGGUCCAGACUCCUACGGGAGGCAGCAGUAGGGAAUCUUCCGCAAUGGGCGAAAGCCUGACGGAGCAACGCCGCGUGAGUGAUGAAGGUCUUCGGAUCGUAAAACUCUGUUAUUAGGGAAGAACAAAUGUGUAAGUAACUAUGCACGUCUUGACGGUACCUAAUCAGAAAGCCACGGCUAACUACGUG
rnacentral:rRNA from 1 species